AUGGGAGUGCUGCGUGGCGGCCGGCGCCCACGCAGGGGUAGCCGCUGCCGCCAGAGCCGCAGCCCCAGCAGUGCGAGGUCGUCGUCGUCGUCGUCGUCGUCGCCGCCGCUGCCAUGGCCCGCUGGACGCCGACCAGGAGGCAGAAGUACGCGUUUGGAAGAAAAGCAGCUGAUACAGCCCAGAAUUUGUGACCUAUUGGGAAAUCUUUGAGAAAAUUUGGAAAGUACAGCCUAGCAGGUGACAGCAGACGGAUCUGUCCAGGCCUGGGGCGGUGGUGAGGCGGGGAGGCGCCCGCGCAUGUGGGCGAAGCCGGCCAGAACUUGGCAGAAGAGACCCGGGUGCACAGGCGCGGCAGGGCUGCCCAGCGUGCUGCGUGGCGGCCGGCGCCCACGCAGGUGUAGCCGCUGCCGCCAGGGCCGCAGC